GAGGUUGUGGCUCAGCGGUAGAGUCCUCGCCUGGCAUCUGAGAAGCCCUGGGUUCGAUCCUCAGCACCACA
rnacentral:tRNA from 1 species